CAGUAUUUACAUGUACAAAACCCAAUUUGGAAACCAAUUUGAAAACCAUCUAACUUCCAUUCAAUCUAUUACGAUCCAUUUACAAUCCAUUCGAUCCAUUACAUUGAUCAUUACAUGAAAAAUUACAAAUUUUAGCAACUUUGACCAAGUGUUGACUUUGGUCAACAAUUGACUUUUUGGUCAACUUUGACCAACGUCAACUCAUCCCUUUUUGGCCACCUAAGAUAUAAUCUAAUCCACCUUGCCUUGAUUCAUCAUCUAAAGGUCAUGUUGGUUUGCUUGUGCCAUGUUUCUUCAUUUAUAAGUAACAUUGUCCAUGUUCAUAAUCAUGUCCACCAAGCCUACAAAAACAACCAAUAUCAUAACCAUAUAAAUUAGCACAUUGUCAUGAACUUCAAACAGAAACAGGCCAAUGAUGCAUCACAUAAUACUCCAUCAUCCAAGAAAACAUGAGCUAAUGGUUAAGUUGAGAUACCUUAAUCCAAGUUACAUGGCCUUUGGUUCUGAUCAAAUAAGAUGGCCUAGCUAUUACAUCUCCGUAACCUGUCCAAGUCAGAAUGUGAUUUCCUGUAGCAGACUUAUGAAAUCCUGCAAAGAAAAAUCAUGACAGCUCAGGACCUACUACACCAUGCCUAGCAUCCUUCAGCCUGCAGCCAACACACCAGAUCAUGCCCAAUCUGCAACAUAAACCCAAGAAUUGAAUCAACCUACAAAGCACCAAGUUGAAUCACUUGCAGAAUUCCUAGAAGGACUUCAUAACACAGCAAAAUGAUAUAAGUUGCAGCUAACAUGACCUGCAACACAUCAUAACAACCUGCCAUAAAAUAUGCCAACUACUAGAAAGCAUGGACUCACUAUGCCAAAACCAGUUGACUUGCACAAAAGUCAUGAGUUCAUGGUACACCAGGAUUUGCCUUGCAACUUUGUUGAGCAAUGCCUUACAUCAACCUGCAGAGUUUGCAACAAAAUUACAACAACACAUCAGUCCUAGUAAUCUGGCAUGCAGCCAUUCCAUCCGCACUAUGGUGGACACAAAAACAUAGAGAAGAACAUUACCACACCUGCAAUAGAAUACAAGCAUGCACCAAAUAAAAUCCUACAACAAACCAGGUUGUGGAUUGGGGGCAAUUCAUGAACUUUGAUCCAACUUGUAGCAAGAUAAUGUGAAACAAUUUACAUUGCAAAAGACCUUACCUGCCAGGAAUAACGUGCACAAGUUCAUAUCUAACAGUUCAUAUACCUGCACAACCACAAACCUGUCUCAAAUCCAAGUCAUACCUACAGGAUCCUUUCAUUGCCAAAACAAAGCCAUGAUUCAUAUGCAUGCCACAAACCACUUGUUACAAACCCUACAAAGGCAGUGGCCCAUGACCUAAACCAAUCUACAAGUAAACAAGGCAAAGCAUAAUCAGCUCAAUGCCAACACCAGAAUUGACUCAAAACUGAUUUGGUUUAACACAUUGAAGUUAUGACUACAAGGCCAAUUAAGUCAGAAUAUGGAUAACUCACAACACAACAAGUUCAUUAUAAAUUCAACUUCAAAUUCACUUGAAAAUUGGCUUCAAAUUCAUUUCAAAUUAACACGAAUGCCUUACACCAACAGUCCAAUGCAAUAGAGGCAUGAGCACAUGGAAACAUGUUUUGACCUGCAGUCCAACACCAAGCAAUGUAUAAAAGUUAACAUUAACCAAUAACAUAACACUGCCUAAACUAAUUCAUAAGUUCCAAUUGGUGUUAAGGAGUGAACUUGUUCAGCAAGUCAUCUCUCAAGCUUUAAGACCAAUUCCACUUAAAACUAUAACCUGCAUUAGCCAGUCAAAAUAAGCUCAGACUUGUAACAUUCACUCAUAAAAAAAACCUAACUAACUAAUUCAAUCAACUAACUGACAACUCAUUGAGUUAACAGAUUGAACUCACUGAGUUCAUCUUAACCAACUCCUAAACAACUUCCAAACCUAACCAUAACUAACUCCAAAUCUCAUCAAUUCCAAACCUAAUGCCUAUAUAUUUCACUCUCCAUCAUCAUUGUGAGGACCUUUGGAUCAAAUUUCAAAUCCUUGCACUCUCUAAGUUUCCUUCCUCUCCCUAAAUCUCACUACACGCACAAUCCAAAAGCCAUUGAAGCUCAUCAUUAGAGCUUCAAUACAACUUAUGCUAAGCCUCUCCAAUCCAAUACCAAGGCAUUCAUUUCACCAUUUUCGAACCCAGAAGAAAGAGAAUAAGAAGAGGUUAUAACUAGUACAAGAAGCAGGCAGUGCAAGGCAUUACCUGGAAUCAAAUCAUCACCGUCGCGACUUCCAGCAAGGUAAUUCUGUAAACCUUCGCAUUUCUUCAAUGCUUGGUUACCAGUAUGUAGAGAGUGAAGAGAGGAUUUGAAGCCCUCAUCCCUAGGGCUUUGAAUCAUUGAGGUUAGAAUUUAAUUUGAGGAUUACACUUUAGGGUUCUUGGAGAGUGGAGCUUCGGUUAGGGUUGUGAGGCUCCGAUUUCGUGAAAUUGACUAAGGAUCCAAGCAGAGCGUGAGGAGAUGAACUUUUUGUUAACUCCGGUGUGUGUUUUGGUGGCCACCGUCGCCGGAAGCGACUUCCGGCGCGGUGGCCCGUGGCGUGUCUGGCGAGGCAUUUUAGAGGGAAUGAGUGUUUGGCCCUUUCAAAU
rnacentral:lncRNA from 1 species